rnacentral:rRNA from 1 species
AUGUUUGUGGUAUCAUCGUUACUGCGUGCGUCGCUGUGUGAAGGGUUCUAUGUUUGUUUUAUGGAUUGCUCAAUAUUAAGCUGGAAUGUUAGAGGUUUGAACAACCCUGCGAAACGGCGGGCGGUACAGAUGUUUGUGGCUGAGUCCAAGUGCAACAUCGUGUGUCUACAAGAGACCAAGAUCGAGGACAUGACGAGGCCUUUGGUGAUGGAGACCUUGGGGCCACGAUUUGCUGAUAAUUUCCUGAUGAUGCCGGCUCAAGGCUCCAGAGGGGGCAUUUUGUUAGCUUGCUUGGAAGGAUUUGAGAUUUCUGAAAAUAACUUGGCGGCGGGGGACUACUCUGUUUCGGGCACAAUUAUGAGCAGAGCUGAUGGAGCCAAGUGGUCGAUUACUGGGGUCUACGGGCCACAGUCUGAGGGAGACAAGGUGUUGUUCAUGGAAGAGUUACGAAUGAUCAAGCAACACACGCUCCCAAGAUGGAUGCUCCUGGGGGAUUUCAACAUGAUCUACAAAGCAAGUGAGAAGAGCAAUAACAACAUUAACUUGAGGCUGAUGGGCAGGUUCAGAGCCAUGAUCGAGGAUCUCGAGUUGAUCGAUUUUCCGCUGUUGGGAAGACGGUUUACAUGGUCCAAUGAACGACAGAACAUCACCCUUACCAAAAUAGACAGGGUGUUGGUUUCCAAUGAGUGGGAAUCAGCUUUCCCACAUUAUCAGCUGUCCCCUGCCUCUACAAAUGUUUCUGAUCAUUGCCCCUUGAUACUCAAGAAAAUGGAGACAGCGCACUACAAGGCGUUUCGUUUUGAGAAUCACUGGCUGAAAUGCUCGGAGUUUGAUGGUAUUGUAACCCAAGCUUGGUCUAAAGAAGUCAAAUCUGGUGACCUGAUCAGGGUGCUGCACACGAAACUAUCUAGGACUGCUAGAGCGCUGAAAGAGUGGAACAAGCACAAAAAGAGGGACACGGUUUUCCUCUCGGGGGUGGCAAACGAGGUCAUUUUCAUGUUGGACUUGGCGCAGGAGGAAAGAGAGCUUUCAGAGGGGGAGAGGAAUUUACGGGCUAUGCUCAAGGCAAAAUUGUUGGGUUUUGCGGCAGUCGACAGGGCGCGGUGGAGGCAGAAAUCGCGAUUGACAGAGAUCAAGGAGGGGGAUGCCAGCACACGCUUCUUCCACCUAAGAGCUAGUGGAAGAAGGCGCAAGAAUUACAUUCCAACUUUAAAGGGGCGUGACGGGCUAGUAUCUGAUCAUGCUGGCAAGGCGAAGCUGCUGCUGGACAGAUUCCGGGAACUCAUGGGAACCCCUCAUGGGCGAUCGGCUGGGCUGAACUGGGAGGAACUGGGGCUGCCAAGAGACAGUCUGGAGCAGUUGGAGGUUGCUUUCACUGAGCAAGAACUGCACGCGGCGAUCAAUGAUUCGCAUGGGGAAAAGGCACCCGGCCCAGAUGGAUUUACGGGAGCAUUUUUCAAACACUGCUGGUCCACUAUCAAGGGGGAUAUACUAGCUGCGGUUAACUGUGUGCAAAGCCUGAGAGGGCAGAAUUGGAAUAUUUUGAAUACGGCCAAUGUGGUGCUACUCCCGAAGAGAGAUGGGGCACAGGAGGUGGCUGACUUCAGACCCAUUUGUUUGAUACAUAGCAUCCCAAAAUUGGUGAGCAAGAUGCUUGCGUCCAGAUUAGCACCAGUGAUCCACAAGCUAGUGACGCACAACCAGAGCGCCUUCAUUCGAGGUCGAUCCAUCCAGGACAUUUUCCUCUACGUUCGGAAUGUGAUCAAGGCCGCACACACUGCCAAAUCUCCCAUGGUGUUCCUGAAAUUGGAUAUAGCGAAAGCAUUUGACUCCGUGUGCUGGGCUUUUCUCCUGGAGGUGAUGGAGGCAAUGGGCUUUGGACAGAGGUGGCGUGAUAUGAUAUCACUGAUGCUCUCAUCGUCCUCUUCACGUGUGCUGCUCAACGGAGUGCCUGGGGUGCCGUUUCACCAUCGGUGUGGUUUAAGGCAAGGGGAUUCUUUGUCACCAUUGCUGUUCAUUCUGGCAAUGGAGCCGCUGCAGAGAUUGCUUCAGCUGGCGACAGAGAGAAACAUUAUAUCGCGGCUACGACCGACGGUAGCGCGCUUCAGAUCUAGUUUCUACGCCGAUGAUGCAGCUUUGUUCAUUAACCCGGUAGCAGAUGAUUUUAACGCUGUACAGGCCAUUCUCACCCUGUUUGGGGAUGCCUCUGGAUUAAGGACAAACGUGACCAAAUCAGUGGCCUACCCAAUAGCUUGUGCAAACAUAGAUAUGGAGCCACUGUUCGCCAUUUUUGGAGGGGAACCAGGAGCCUUCCCAUGUCAGUACCUAGGACUCCCUCUCGGGUCCCGGAAGCCAAGGAGGGUUGAGCUGCAGCCGUUGCUUGAUAAGAUUGCUGGAAGACUAUCUAACAGAAAGGGGAGGAUGAUGAACCGUAUGGGUAGGCUGGUGUACAUUAACUCGGUGGUCACAGCCACGGCUACCUAUUAUCUAACGGCCUUCCAGCCGGACAAGUGGCUGAUCAAGAAAAUGGACAAACUUAGGAAGAAUUUCCUUUGGGAUGCGGACGAUGGAAACAUUGGGGGAAAGAGCUUGGUUAACUGGAGACAAGUUUGCACACCAAAACAAUAUGGUGGCCUGGGGGUGAAGAACAUUGAGUGCUUUGGCCGGGCAUUGAGGCUUCGCUGGGAGUGGUUUAGAUGGGGAGAGGAGGACAGGCCGUGGAAGGGCUCGGACAUGCCUUGUGAUUCCACGGAUAAGCAACUCUUCGCCAGCUGCACCAAAAUUCAGCUAGGGGAUGGAAACACGGCACUCUUUUGGACAGACAGAUGGCUUAAUGGCGAGGCAUUCUCUGUCUAUGCCCCUGAGUUGUUCAAGUUGGCAAGGUUUAAAAAACUGACGGUCAAACAGGGCCUGCAUAACAGCAAAUGGAUGACAGGGCUGCAUAGCAUGAACAGUGAGGAGCAGUUGACAAAAUUCUUUCAGAUAUGGGGCAAGGUACAGGUGGCCACACUGGUGCCGAGGAAGGACAAACUUGUAUGGAACCUGACGGCAAACGGAGUAUAUUCGUGUACAUCUGCCUACGAGGCACAAUUCUUUGCUCGGAUUCCUAAACCAGAGCUAUCACGAGUAUGGAGAGGCAUGGUGGAGGGGAAAGUGAGAUUCUACCUAUGGCUGCUGUUGCAAGACCGGAAUUGGACGGCUGACAGAUUGCAGGCGCGGGGGUGGCCGCACAACGCGCGUUGCAGCCUAUGUGAUCAGGAGUUGGAAACAGCGAAUCAUCUUUCCUUGCACUGCUCCUUUGCCAAGGUGAUCUGGGACUUGUUCUGGAGAUCAACAGAUGAUCUAUGCGGUACGGCGGCCACGGCGACGUCCAUAUCUGAAUGGUGGGAGCACACCGGACGUGGCCGAGGUUCGAAGGACCGAAACAAAGAGGAAAUGACGCUGGCAGCUUACAUUGUGUGGAACUUAUGGAAGGAGAGGAACAGAAGGGUUUUCGAGCACAAAGAAAUGGGUCCGCUAGAGUUGGCCGCGUCCAUUACUGAUGAGGUAAACAUGGUCAAGUUAGCCAUGAGAAGGGGACAGCCCUCAGAGAGACACUAG